rnacentral:lncRNA from 1 species
UUUUGUCCAUUUUAAUUUUGCAUUUAUUUUAAUUCCAAAAAUACCAAAAAAAUAUAUUUGACUUGUUGACUUCCAAUCUUCAUUUCUCUUCUGUUUACCAUUGGUUGAUGAUGAUUUGAUUCACAUUAGACCAUUUGUGUUUGACACUUUAUUUCUUUGUUCAUUUCAUUUCAUCUUCGUCUUAUUUCGUUUAUUUUGGCCAAUGAGUUAAUGUCUUAUGGUUGGUCUUGACAUAUGAG